rnacentral:rRNA from 1 species
ACGCUCGACACCUACGGGAGCAGCAGUGGGGAAUAUUGCACAAUGGGGGGAACCCUGAUGCAGCGACGCCGCGUGAGUGAAGAAGUACUUCGGUAUGUAAAGCUCUAUCAGCAGGGAAGAAAAUGACGGUACCUGACUAAGAAGCCCCGGCUAACUACGUGUCAGCAGCCGCGGUAAUCUGAGCGGGCUGGCAAGGC